GACAGCAGCCGCCGCGGUAAUACAGAGGGUGCGAGCGUUAAUCGGAUUUACUGGGCGUAAAGCGUGCGUAGGCGGCUUCUUAAGUCGGAUGUGAAAUCCCUGAGCUUAACUUAGGAAUUGCAUUCGAUACUGGGAAGCUAGAGUAUGGGAGAGGAUGGUAGAAUUCCAGGUGUAGCGGUAAAAUGCGUAGAGAUCUGGAGGAAUACCGAUGGCGAAGGCAGCCAUCUGGCCUAAUACUGACGCUGAGGUACGAAAGCAUGGGGAGCAAACAGGAUUAGAUACCCCAGUAGUCCCUGUCUCUUAUAC
rnacentral:rRNA from 1 species